CAAAUAAAAUAAAUAGUAAACUAAAUAGUAAAAUAAAGUAAAUAUUUUUAAUUUCAUGUUUUAAUAUUGUCCACCACAUAAAACAAAUAAUUUAAAAAUAACACACAUACAAAUACCUGUUACGAUUGUGCAGGCAUGAGACAGAGUGAGAAUCCAAAUGCAAGCACCAACGUUUAAUAACAAAAAGGUAAUCCAUAACCAGGAGUAAUCCAUACACAGCAGACGAGAGCAACGACCAACAAACAACGACUGAAGCGUAAAGGUUUAAAUAGACAUUAACAAUGAACAGAUAAGGGACAGGUGUUGGUGAUAUGAUGUCAUGGUAACUAAUGAGGGUAACUAUAACGACACACAAGGUACAAGGCAAAACAGGACAAAACACAGGAAGUAAAGAUUGAAA